rnacentral:misc_RNA from 1 species
AGUGAUCUCUUGGUCUCUGAAAUGCCAUCAAUGGGACUAAAUAAAAUACUAGACAUUCAAGCUUCCACUUCACUCUCUUAUGCUUAAUUUACUGAGCAACCAAACAAAAAGCACAUGAAAUAUGUGUUGCUUUUGUUUCUCUAAUCAUGAAAUAUAAAGCCACAAGCUUCACCAUGCAAAUAUAAACCUAACCCAAGAAAAAAAGGGCAGCGAACCCCAAAUAAAACAUGCCAAUCUCUAGAAGUCAACACGUUACAUCUGCCUGUUUGGAAGCUAAGGAAAUGCUGGAAAACUCCAUACAUCCAAAUCUUUGUAGCUCAACUCAAUCAAUUGGGUCCAUAUACUUCUAUUUACCUAGGAAAUUUUUCCCAAAUUGCCAACACAAACAGCAUAAAGAAAAAGACCCUUUAAUUUUUACAGUCUAUCGAGUUUUUCCCCUCAGUUUCUCAGCAGCCAAGCAAAACCCACAUAAAAAAAUUCCCAAUCUAACCCAAACCAUGAAGAUGAGAAAUGUCAGUCCCAUUUCCAUUCAAUUCAAUGAUCGAUAGAGAAACCUGGAAAUGCGACACAAGAAAAU